UUGUCCCAGUCUGUCUGUCUGUCUGGUGGUCCUUGUAUCUGUUAUGAUUUGCAUGUCCGCCAGUCGAGGAAGCAGCGGGAUGCAGAAGAUGGAGCCAAGGGAGUCCGAGUCGGUGCCAAAAAAUUAGCUCUCUCCCUCCUCCAUUCAUAGCCCAAUUUCUAUGCCUCCUCACAACAACAGUGGCAUUAUUAAGCCAUGAUGCACUCUGACUCAGCCGGCUACCCCCGAACGCCCCGCCCUCCAAGCUCACACCAGGUGCUCCUUUGAAGCCAUUAACGACAUGGAUGACAAUAACACAUUCAUCUUCUGGGGCUGUCAUGGCAUUCAUCAGUGAAGGAGGCCGAUGAAUGCACACGCACGAUGAGGUGAUGUCAGCUCGGCUAGUGGCUGCACACGAACACAACACCA